GUGGGAUUAGCUCAGUUGGCAGAGCACCGGAUUGUGGUUCCGGGUGUCGUGGGUUCGAGCCCCAUAUCCCACCCCA
rnacentral:tRNA from 5 species